rnacentral:rRNA from 1 species
AUUGAACGCUGGCGGCAUGCUUUACGCAUGCAAGUCGAACGGUAACAGGCCUUCGGGUGCUGACGAGUGGCGAACGGGUGAGUAAUGCAUCGGAACGUGCCCAGAGGUGGGGGAUAACGCAGCGAAAGCUGUGCUAAUACCGCAUGUGAUCUGAGGAUGAAAGCGGGGGACCAGGCAGCAAUGUUUGGCCUCGCGCCUUUGGAGCGGCCGAUGUCAGAUUAGGUAGUUGGUGGGGUAAAGGCCUACCAAGCCGACGAUCUGUAGCUGGUCUGAGAGGACGACCAGCCACACUGGGACUGAGACACGGCCCAGACUCCUACGGGAGGCAGCAGUGGGGAAUUUUGGACAAUGGGCGCAAGCCUGAUCCAGCAAUGCCGCGUGAGGGAAGAAGGCCUUCGGGUUGUAAACCGCUUUUGUACGGAACGAAAAGGCUCUGGCUAAUACCUGGGGCUGAUGACGGUACCGUAAGAAUAAGCACCGGCUAACUACGUG